AUUGAACGCUGGCGGCAGGCCUAACACAUGCAAGUCGAACGAGUGGCGGACGGGUGAGUAAUGUCUGGGAAACUGCCUGAUGGAGGGGGAUAACUACUGGAAAAGGUAGCUAAUACCGCAUACCAUCAGAUGUGCCCAGAUGGGAUUAGCUAGUUGGUGGGGUAACGGCUCACCAAGGCUACGAUCCCUAGCUGGUCUGAGAGGAGGACCAGCCACACUGGAACUGAGACACGGUCCAGACUCCUACGGGAGGCAGCAGUGGGGAAUAUUGCGCAAUGGGCGCAAGUCUGAUGCAGCCAUGCCGCGUGUAUGAAGAAGGCCUUCGGGUUGUAAAGUACUUUCAGCAGGGAGGCGUUACCCGAAGAGGAAGCACCGGCUAACUCCGUGCCAGCAGCCGCGGUAAUAC
rnacentral:rRNA from 1 species